ensembl:lncRNA
AGAGUAGGCUAAGUUAACAAAUAUUGCCUAGGAAAAGUUUUAUGCGUGAUAGCCCGGUGAGCAUCUCCGCUCCGCUGCGCAAAAACUAAAUGCUGUGUGUGUUUUGUGCCACUUAAAAUAUUUCUAAAUUAUGCCAGGGGACUAUUUUUCGGAAUAUUGAGAUUUCGGAAUAUCGGGCCUUCGGAACACUGGACCGUCCCCAAAUGCCCCACUAGCUAAUGCCUUUACCCUGCUGCUAGUGAGGUUAAAUGCCCCACUAGCUAAUGUCUUUACCCUGUUGCUAGUGAGGUUAAAUGCCCCACUAGCUAAUGCCUUUACCCUGCUGCUAGUGAGGUUAAAUGCCCCACUAGCUAAUGCCUUUACCCUGCUGCUAGUGAGGUUAAAUGCCCCGCUAGCUAAUGCCUUUACCCUGCUGCUAGUGAUGUUAAAUGCCCCACUAGCUAAUGCCUUUACCCUGCUGCUAGUGAUGUUAAAUGCCCCACUAGCUAAUGCCUUUACCCUGCUGCUAGUGAGGUUAAAUGCCCCGCUAGCUAAUGCCUUUACCCUGCUGCUAGUGAUGUUAAAUGCCCCACUAGCUAAUGCCUUUACCCUGCUGCUAGUGAGGUUAAAUGCCCCGCUAGCUAAUGCCUUUACCCUGAUGCUAGUGAGGUUAAAUGCCCCACUGGCUAAUGCCUUUACCCUGCUGCUAGUGAGGUUAAAUGCCCCACUAGCUAAUGCCUUUACCCUGCUGCUAGUGAUGUUAAAUGCCCCACUAGCUAAUGCCUUUACCCUGCUGCUAGUGAGGUUAAAUGCCCCGCUAGCUAAUGCCUUUACCCUGCUGCUAGUGAGGUUAAAUGCCCCGCUAGCUAAUGCCUUUACCCUGCUGCUAGUGAUGUUAAAUGCCCCACUAGCUAAUGCCUUUACCCUGCUGCUAGUGAGGUUAAAUGCCCCGCUAGCUAAUGCCUUCCACAUGCCUUAAACCAGACACCUCUGUUGAUUAAAUGUCAAAGCCUCAAAAAGAAUUCAGUACAUUUUUGAAAGGUUUCAAAGCAUUACCUUUUCACAGGCCUACACGCACACACACACACACACACACACAUCUACCUUUUCACAGGCCUACACACACACACACACACACACACACACAUCUACCUUUUCUCAGGCCUACACACACACACACACACACACUUCCACUGUUUUCCACUGACUUUUUUUUUCCUGAAGAUGCAACAACAGUCUAUUGCAUCUUUAAAAUCUACUUCAACAACCUCCUAUAUCUCAAAUCUUUUCUCUUUUGCUCAGUUACAAAGCAGGCGUACACACACACACGCACACACACACACGUCCUGAAACCAAACCUUGUCCUCCUCACUGAUCACAUUUAAAUACUGUCAGUGGUGAGUAGAGUUAUAAGAAAAGGCAAAAAGAGAAGCUGACAGUAAAACAUGUAAAUAUAGUUCACUUCCUCAUUACCAGUGGACUCUCGUCCUGUCCGAGGCCUUGCCUGUCAAUCACACCGCAGAAGCAGCAGGAUCUGAUCAGGCUAAAGUGUGUGUGUGUGUGAGUGAGUGUGAGUGUGUGUGUGAGUGUGAGUAUGUUUGUGUGUGUGUUUGUGUGUGUGUGUGUGUGUGUGUGUGUGUGUGUGUGUGUGUGUGUGAGUGAGUGUGUGCGUGUAUGUGUGCGGGAGUGUGUGAGUGUGAGCGUGUGUGUGUGUGUGUGUGUGUGAUUCAGUGGACGGGUCUGGGCCGGCCUGAGACAGGUAGAGCCAGAGGACUGAACUAAGGACAUCUAGCUCACACUGGAUUUACUUACUGAGAAAAUAAACAGACUAUUUCUCUUUUUUCCCA